GUGGAUAUAGCUCAGUGGUAGAGUGCAUGCUUAGAAUGCAGGAGGUCCUGGGAAUCAAUCCCCGGUACCUCCG
rnacentral:tRNA from 1 species